GCGGUGGCUUGUGGAAGCGCCGUCGCUCAACGGAUAAAAGGUACCCCGGGGAUAACAGGCUGAUCUUCCCCAAGAGUCCAUAUCGACGGGAUGGUUUGGCACCUCGAUGUCGGCUCGUCGCAUCCUGGGGCUGGAGUCGGUCCCAAGGGUUGGGCUGUUCGCCCAUUAAAGCGGUACGCGAGCUGGGUUUAGAACGUCGUGAGACAGUUCGGUCCCUAUCCGCUGUGCGCGCAGGAGUCUUGAGAAGGGCUGUCCCUAGUACGAGAGGACCGGGACGGACGAACCUCUGGUGUGCCAGUUGUCCUGCCAAGGGCAUGGCUGGUUGGCUACGUUCGGGAGGGAUAACCGCUGAAAGCAUCUAAGCGGGAAGCCUGCUUCGAGAUGAGGACUCCCACCCACUUGAUGGGGUAAGGCUCCCAGCAGACGACUGGGUUGAUAGGCCGGAUCUGGAAGCACGGUAACGUGUGGAGGUGACCGGUACUAAUAGGCCGAGGGCUUGUCCUCAGCUG
rnacentral:rRNA from 1 species